UACAGGGGAUGCAAGUGUUAUCCGGAUUUAUUUGGCGUAAAGUGUCUGUAGGCGGACAAAUAAGUCUUAUGUUAAAGGUUUGGGCUUAACCCAAAGUUUGCGUAGGAAACUAUUUUGUCUUGAGUUUAGGAGAGGUAAAGGGAAUUUUCAGUGUAGCGGUGAAAUGUGUUGAUAUUGAAAGGAACACCAAUGGCGAAAGCAUUUUACUGGUCUAAUACUGACGCUGAUAGACGAAAGCUAGGGGAGCAAAUGGG
rnacentral:rRNA from 1 species